rnacentral:piRNA from 1 species
UCCUUCUUUAAUGGUGCUCAGGUAUGGGA